CGAGCGGAUGACGGGAGCUUGCUCCUUGAUUCAGCGGCGGACGGGUGAGUAAUGCCUAGGAAUCUGCCUGGUAGUGGGGGACAACGUUUCGAAAGGAACGCUAAUACCGCAUACGUCCUACGGGAGAAAGCAGGGGACCUUCGGGCCUUGCGCUAUCAGAUGAGCCUAGGUCGGAUUAGCUAGUUGGUGGGGUAAUGGCUCACCAAGGCGACGAUCCGUAACUGGUCUGAGAGGAUGAUCAGUCACACUGGAACUGAGACACGGUCCAGACUCCUACGGGAGGCAGCAGUGGGGAAUAUUGGACAAUGGGCGAAAGCCUGAUCCAGCCAUGCCGCGUGUGUGAAGAAGGUCUUCGGAUUGUAAAGCACUUUAAGUUGGGAGGAAGGGCAGUAAGUUAAUACCUUGCUGUUUUGACGUUACCGACAGAAUAAGCACCGGCUAACUCUGUGCCAGCAGCCGCGGUAAUACAGAGGGUGCAAGCGUUAAUCGGAAUUACUGGGCGUAAAGCGCGCGUAGGUGGUUUGUUAAGUUGGAUGUGAAAGCCCCGGGCUCAACCUGGGAACUGCAUCCAAAACUGGCAAGCUAGAGUACGGUAGAGGGUGGUGGAAUUUCCUGUGUAGCGGUGAAAUGCGUAGAUAUAGGAAGGAACNCCNGUGNCGAAGGCGACCACCUGGACUGAUACUGA
rnacentral:rRNA from 1 species